AUAAACCAGUACUUAUGGCAGGUUUACACAGUGUUUGCUCCUGAUAAAAAUGUUGGUUUUGCCCACUGUUUUGGAAACUCCAGAAAACUGGAGGGAAAAGGGCUCCCAAGUUACUUAUGCACUUCUGUUGGUCUAUUUGUAAUUUUUUUACUACUUUUUAAUUAGCAGCUGUAUGUUCUGGUAUUUAGUUCCUGCACUGCUGCUCUUGACCCACUGGCCUGUCUGCUUUCCAGAAGCUGGAUGGAUGAACUUGGAACAACCUCUGAAGUGAUUACCCUGGCAAGAACAGCGAGUUCCUCCUGAGGAGGCAUUAAAGUCAGUUCAUGUGAUGCACACUUUUGGGUUCCCACCUCCCACAGGAACACAUCAGAAGACAAGAAAUAAUGUGACCUCUAAAGCUGCAGCAGGGGACUGCCAGAGGUGCCCAGAUGUUCCUGUGUUUCUGAGCAGGGCACUGCCUGAGCCACUCAUUCCAGAACUUGAGUAUGUCUCUCUCCUUUGUCCUUUGGGUAUUGGAUUGAGAAUCCCAGAAGAGUUUGGGUUGGAUGGGACCUUGAGGAUCAUCCUGCUAGCAUUCAGGAACACACAUAAUCACAGAAUGAUUAUAUGAAGGUGUUUUAUUGGAGAGCUCUGGGUGUCAGGGGUACACAGACCCAAAUCUGAC
rnacentral:lncRNA from 1 species